rnacentral:tRNA from 1 species
AAUUUAAUAGUUUAUAAUAAAAUUUUAAAUUGCAAAUUUAAAGAUAAUUAAUUUUUUAAAUUU